ACGCUCGACACCUACGGGAGGCAGCAGUGGGGAAGUAUUGCACAAUGGGGAAACCCGUACGAUGCAGCGACGCCGCGUGAGCGAAGAAGUAUCUCGGUAUGUAAAGCUCUAUCAGCAGGGAAGAAGAUGACGGUACCUGACUAAGAAGCACCGGCUAAAUACGUACCAGCAGCCGCGGUAAUCUGAGCGGGCUGGCAAGGC
rnacentral:rRNA from 1 species